rnacentral:rRNA from 1 species
UGCCAGUAGUGAUAUGCUUGUCUCAAAGAUUAAGCCAUGCAUGUCUGAGUACAGACCGAUCUAAGGUGAAACCGCGAAUGGCUCAUUAAAUCAGUCAUAAUUCCUUGGAUAGUGAAAAACUUCCUCGGAUAACUGUGGAAAAUCCAGAGCUAAUACGUGCAACUGAGCUCCGACCUCGGCGUGAGCCUUGGGAAGAGCGCAUUUAUUAGAUUCAAAAUCGACCGGUGUAGUCCUUCGGGAUGCACCGUUUGUCUUACGUUUGAUGACUCCGGAUAACUUAGCCGAGCGCUACGGUCCUUGUACCGGCGCCGUAUCUUUCAAGUGUCUGCCUUAUCAGCUUUCGAUUGUAGGUUAAACGCCUACAAUGGCUGUAACGGGUAACGGGGAAUCAGGGUUCGAUUCCGGAGAGGGAGCCUGAGAAACGGCUACCACAUCUAAGGAAGGCAGCAGGCACGCAAAUUACCCACUCCCAGCCCGGGGAGGUAGUGACGAAAAAUAACGAUGCGAGACUCUUCCGAGGCCUCGCAAUCGGAAUGAGUCCAUUUUAAAUCCUUGGACGAGGAUCCAUUGGAGGGCAAGUCUGGUGCCAGCAGCCGCGGUAAUUCCAGCUCCAAUAGCGUAUAUUAAAGUUGCUGCGGUUAAAAAGCUCGUAGUUGGACUUCCUAGAUCCAUUUCGCGAGCGGGUCGCUCGUUGAUCUAAUGUCUCGCGUCAGUUGCUYGACGACGUCGUCUUUCUUCGGCGGAGUUUCCUGUCCUUCGGGAUUUUGGAUCUUCACGGAGUUGGCGUGCUGAGUCUCGCGGACGGCUUGGCGUUGUCUUCGGGUAUCGCUCGUUCGCGUUUGGUACAAUUAAAAUUUUGUCGGCUCGCUCGGAGUGCUCUUUACCGAGUGUUCCAGGGUGGCCGACACGUUCACUUUGAAAAAAUUAGAGUGCUUAAAGCGGGCUUAUACCUAGCCUGAAUGUCUGUGCAUGGAAUGAAGUAACAGGACCUCGAUUCUGUUUUUUUUGUCGGUUUUAUUGAACCGAGGUAAUGAUUAAAAGGGACAGACGGUGGCAUUAGUAUUGCGGCGCUAGAGGUGAAAUUCUUGGACCGCCGCAAGACUAACUACUGCGAAAGCAUUUGCCGAGAAUGUUUUCAUUAAUCAAGAACGAAAGUUAGAGGAUCGAAGGCGAUCAGAUACCGCCCUAGUUCUAACCCUAAACUAUGCUAACUAGCGAUCCGCCGGAGUCAUUCCCACGACCCGGCGGGAAGCCCCAGGGAAACCAAAGUCUUUGAGUUCCGGGGGAAGUAUGGUUGCAAAGCUGAAACUUAAAGGAAUUGACGGAAGGGCACCACCAGGAGUGGAGCCUGCGGCUUAAUUUGACUCAACACGGGAAACCUCACCAGGCCCGGACAUCAUUAAGAUUGACAGGUUGAGAGCUCUUUCUCGAUUUGAUGGGUGGUGGUGCAUGGCCGUUCUUAGUUGGUGGAGUGAUCUGUCUGGUUGAUUCCGAUAACGAACGAGACUCUACCCUACUAACUAGUCGGCGGAUCUUAACCCUGAGAUGGUUAGUUUGUAUAGGAUGGUUCUAGCCUAGGCGUCGUCGUUCGUCUCGCGUGCGGGUUCGAGUUGGUUAUUGCGGCAUUCGCGUGUCGUGUGGCUUUCUUGGGCUUUUUGUGCGUGAGUCCGGCGUUCGUCGAAGCUUCCGUCUGAUUGCUGCUACUACUGGGGGCGUCCGUCGCAUUGUAUCUUCUUAGAGGGAUCAGCGGCGUAUAGCCGCACGAGAAAGAGCAAUAACAGGUCUGUGAUGCCCUUAGAUGUUCUGGGCCGCACGCGCGCUACAAUGUAGAGACCAGCGUGCUUUCCCCCUCCGAAAGGAGCGGGUAACCCGUUGAAACCCCUACCCGAUUGGGAUUGGGGAUUGCAAAUAUUUCCCAUAAACGAGGAAUUCCCAGUAAGCGCGAAUCAUUAAUUCGCGCUGAUUACGUCCCUGCCCUUUGUACACACCGCCCGUCGCUACUACCGAUUGAAUGAUUCAGUGAGGGCAUCGGACUGGCGCCUUCGGUUUAGUAAAAUAGACCUUAGGCUGACGGAAAGAUGUCCGAACUUGAUUAUUUAGAGGAAGU